ACUAGGAUUUAUCCUGGGGUCACAAUGGGCUUGAUUUGCAAACUUUAUUUAGCGAGGAACAAUUGGAGGGCAAGUCUGGUGCCAGCAGCCGCGGUAAUUCCAGCUCCAAUAGUGUAUAUUAAUGUUCCUGCAGUUACUCGAUGCUCGUAGUUGGAUUUCUGGGGGCUGAGAUUGGAAGGUGGCCAAGGUCACCGCCGAACUCUUCCUUCAUCCACCUGUUAACGUUGUCCGGGAUUUGUUUCUCGGCUUCAGGCUCAGGUAUUUUACCCUUUCUAUAUAUUCAUUUAUUUAUCUUCUUUUUGAGUAAAUUAUAGUGUUUCAGGCAGGCGUGCGCCGGAAUACUUUAGCAUGGAAUAAUCGAAUUGGACCGUGUAUUCUUAUAGAAUUCUUCCUUAUUUGUUGGUUUCAAGGACACGGAAAUGGUUAAUAGGGAUAGUGUUUUCAGGGGAGGCAUUAGUAUUUAAUUUCCAGAGGUGAAAUUCUUUGAAAUAUUAAAGACUAACUUAUGCGAAAGCAUUUAUUUUGCCAAUAAUGUUUUCAUUAAUCAUUGAACGAAAGUUAGGGGAUCAAAGACGAUCAGAUACCGUCCUAGUCUUAACCAUAAACGUUGCCGACUAGGGAUCGGAGGGCGUGCACAUUCCGCCUUCGGCACCUUACGAGAAAUCAAAGUCUUUUGGGUUCUGGGGGUAGUAUGGUCGCAAGGCUGAAACUUAAAGGAAUUGACGGAAGGGCACCACCAGGAGUGGAGCUUGCGGCUCAAUUUGACUCAACACGGGAAAUCUUACCAGGUCCAGACAUAGCGAGGAUUGACAGAUUGAUAGCUCUUUCUUGAUUCUAUGGGUAUUUAUUUUAAUUUUGGUGGUGCAUGGCCGUUCUUAGUUGGUGGAGUGAUUUGUCUGGUUAAUUCCGUUAAACGAACGAGACCUCAGCCUGCUAAAUAGUUACCUGUCUUUCUUUUACGAGACUUGAUAACUUCUUAGAGGGACGUUGUGUGCAACCACAAGGAAGUUGAGGCAAUAACAGGUCUGUGAUGCCCUUAGAUGUCCUGGGCCGCACGCGUGCUACACUGAUACGUACAACAAGGUAUAUGCAUUUAUGCAUCGAUGCUGCUCCGAAAUAGACACAGCUAAAUCUUCUAAAAUACGUAUCGUGCUGCGGAUAGAUCGUUGAAAUUAUGGAUCUUGAGGGUGGAAUUCCUAGUAAGCGCGGGUCAUCAACCCGCGUUGAUUACGUCCCUGCCCUUUGUACACACCGCCCGUCGCUCCUACCAAUUUCGAGUGGCUCGGUGAACCUCUUUGGACUGUCGAGCAAUCGCGAAAUUAGAGUGAACCUGGUCAC
rnacentral:rRNA from 1 species